UUUAAGGCUCUAUUAAGAGCCAUACAAGUCAAGUUAAAGAAUUUGU
rnacentral:ncRNA from 1 species